ACGUAGGGAGCAAGCGUUAUCCGGAUUUACUGGGUAUAAAGGGCGCGCAGGCGGGCCGGCAAGUUGGAAGUGAAAUCUAUGGGCUUAACCCAUAAACUGCUUUCAAAACUGCUGGUCUUGAGUGAUGGAGAGGCAGGCGGAAUUCCGUGUGUAGCGGUGAAAUGCGUAGAUAUACGGAGGAACACCAGUGGCGAAGGCGGCCUGCUGGACAUUAACUGACGCUGAGGCGCGAAAGCGUGGGGAGCAAACAG
rnacentral:rRNA from 1 species